rnacentral:rRNA from 1 species
GACGAACGCUGGCGGCGUGCUUAACACAUGCAAGUCGAACGGAAAGGCCCUGCUUUUGUGGGGUGCUCGAGUGGCGAACGGGUGAGUAACACGUGAGUAACCUGCCCUUGACUUUGGGAUAACUUCAGGAAACUGGGGCUAAUACCGGAUAGGAGCUCCUGCUACAUGGUGGGGGUUGGAAAGUUUCGGCGGUUGGGGAUGGACUCGCGGCUUAUCAGCUUGUUGGUGGGGUAGUGGCUUACCAAGGCUUUGACGGGUAGCCGGCCUGAGAGGGUGACCGGCCACAUUGGGACUGAGAUACGGCCCAGACUCCUACGGGAGGCAGCAGUGGGGAAUAUUGCACAAUGGGCGGAAGCCUGAUGCAGCAACGCCGCGUGCGGGAUGACGGCCUUCGGGCUGUAAACCGCUUUCGCCUGUGACGAAGCGUGAGUGACGGUAAUGGGUAAAGAAGCACCGGCUAACUACGUG